GAUGAACGCUGGCGGCGUGCCUAAUACAUGCAAGUCGAGCGAACAGACGAGGAGCUUGCUCCUCUGACGUUAGCGGCGGACGGGUGAGUAACACGUGGAUAACCUACCUAUAAGACUGGGAUAACUUCGGGAAACCGGAGCUAAUACCGGAUAAUAUAUUGAACCGCAUGGUUCAAUAGUGAAAGACGGUUUUGCUGUCACUUAUAGAUGGAUCCGCGCCGCAUUAGCUAGUUGGUAAGGUAACGGCUUACCAAGGCAACGAUGCGUAGCCGACCUGAGAGGGUGAUCGGCCACACUGGAACUGAGACACGGUCCAGACUCCUACGGGAGGCAGCAGUAGGGAAUCUUCCGCAAUGGGCAAAAGCCUGACGGAGCAACGCCGCGUGAGUGAUGAAGGUCUUCGGAUCGUAAAACUCUGAUAUUAGGGAAGAACAAAUGUGUAAGUAACUAUGCACGUCUUGACGGUACCUAAUCAGAAAGCCACGGCUAACUACGUG
rnacentral:rRNA from 1 species